CAGGUCAGUGGCUAUCUCGUCCGCCUGAAAAGCGGAAGGUCGCCGGUUCGAUCCCGGCCCUGGCCA
rnacentral:tRNA from 4 species